ACUUCGGUGCUUCACUUCAAAAAAAAGAAAAAGAAAAAGAAAAAGAUCACCAUUAUCGCUCAGACCUCACUCCGUGAUCUCUCCACACACUCACACUCAGAUCUCAAUCUCUCACACAUCGCUCUUCUCUCUAGCGAUCGAACUCUCUUGAGGCUUUCCUCUUUAUUGAUCUUGUCAAUCGCGAUUGAUACCAUUUGUAUUUGUAGAUGUUUUUCAUCAAUUGCCUCGGUCUCUGUUCUUCAUUUCUGUUCUUCAUCGAUCUCGAGGCUAAUCGAACUCGAACUCAAUCUCUCUCUCUCUCGCUAUUAGCUCCCAUCUUGAGGUUGCAAAUCGCAAAUCCGAAAUCGAUCUCAUAAUCGAUCUAUCUUUGUCUUUAUCUCAGGGCCAAGAUGCCUAUAGCAUUUUAGUGUUACCUGAUUGUAGGCACCACUAAUUUGCAAUGUGAAUCACAAUUACUUUUCUUAGGCCACUCAGAAGUCCCCAACUCAACUGAUGGCCAGAUGUGCUUGGAUGCUGAAUUGAAUAGCAAAAACUACGUCAAUCUAGACAUAGAAAAUGCGAAUCCUUAUCCCCCAUGCCUUGUGGAUAUGGACAUUGAGAAGGGAAAUUCAGAGACACCUAAAACCAAUGAUGAAGAUGUGGAAAAAUUGAAGAUUACGGGUCCGUUAACUGUAAGUUCCAUUUGUAUAUGCAUACAUACAUAUACAUUCUACAUAUGAUCUCCUUAUUUUAAAGUCAAAAACUUUUCAAUUAGGUUGACAAUGUGGUGUGAUAGCAAUUGAUUUAUAAUCAAUUGGCUAUACAUACUGCCAGCAUCCUUUGUCUCUAAUUUUGCUAUAGUAGUCAAUUGAAAUAUGAUUUUUUUUAAACAUCAUGAUUAAAUAGCAUUUGCAGAAGGCAUGGUAGAGACUGAUUAGCUUACAAAUAGGGGAGAAGUUCAUGCAGCUUUUAAUGAAAGAUAGCCUUGUGUCACCCAAAUUCCCUUCUAGAGGAGCCUUGUGCACUUGGCUAUCACCAACUGUGUUUCAUGGACUCAAGUACAAGUGUCGAGUGGAGGUGCAUAUGCAAAGGUCGGGUACACAGACUAGGAAAAAAAUAAUCAUAUUUUUAUAUUUUUAAUCUAUUAUGUGAGAUAUGGACAGAGCAACUGGCUCAGUAAUCCAUGUAGCAAUCUCUUGGGACCAUGAGAAGGUCAAAGAAAGGAAAGAAGAAGAAGUAGAUAUGACAAACUUAAUGAAAGAAGGUCGCUAGAGUCUACUGAAUUCAAGUUUUGUCACUGCAGUUGAUUUUACCAUCAACAAAAAGAGGGGAUUGUGGGUUAACACUAGAGGUGGAGACAGGAAUUUUAUGGCUACUGGUAGACACAAAAAGCAUGUGAGCUGCGCGAGAAGUUUGACGCCAACAAGCACGUGGACUGAAGAGUACAUAUUUUUUGUGUAGUAAAAAUCUCAUGGAAUGUGCAAUUAAUUUGGUUCAUAUGGAUGAGUUGAGUACUUUUAUGCACUUUUCCCCAUCUCCGUAUAAUGUUUUAUGAUGUAUUGAUUACAAUAUAUUGGAUAUAUAAAAAUUGUGAUUAGCUUGAUGCA